rnacentral:rRNA from 1 species
UACGUAGGGGGCUAGCGUUGUCCGGAUUUAUUGGGCGUAAAGAGCGUGUAGGCGGCCAGGUAGGUCUGCUGUGAAAACUCGAGGCUCAACCUCGAGAUGUCGGCGGAAACCAUCUGGCUAGAGUCCGGAAGAGGAGAGUGGAAUUCCUGGUGUAGCGGUGAAAUGCGCAGAUAUCAGGAGGAACACCAGCGGCGAAGGCGGCGCUCUGGGCCGGAACUGACGCUGAGGCGCGAAAGCUAGGGGGAGCAAACGGG